UAACAAGGAUUCCCCUAGUAACUGCGAGUGAAGCGGGAAGAGCUCAAAUUUAAAAUCUGGCAGUCUUCUGGCUGUCCGAGUUGUAAUCUGGAGAAGCGUUUUCUGUGUUAGACCGUGUACAAGUCUCCUGGAACGGAGCGUCAUAGAGGGUGAGAAUCCCGUCCAUGACACGGACUACUAAUACUUUGUGAUACGCUCUCGAAGAGUCGAGUUGUUUGGGAAUGCAGCUCAAAAUGGGUGGUAAAUUCCAUCUAAAGCUAAAUACAGGCGAGAGACCGAUAGCGAACAAGUACCGUGAGGGAAAGAUGAAAAGCACUUUGGAAAGAGAGUUAAACAGUACGUGAAAUUGUUGAAAGGGAAACGCUUGAAGUCAGUCGCGCUGUGCAGAACUCAGCCUUGCCUCGGCUUGGUGUACUUUCUGCACAACGGGUCAACAUCAAUUUUGGCCCAUGGAGAAAGGUAGGGGGAAUGUAGCGCUGUUUCGGCAGCGUGUUAUAGCCCUCUAUUGUAUACAUGGGCUGGGAUUGAGGAUCGCAGCACGCCCUUGUGGCCGGGGGUUCGCCCUACGUACCGUGCUUGGGAUGUUGGCAGAAUGGCUUUAAGCGACCCGUCUUGAAACACGGACCAAGGAGUCUAACAUGCUUGCGAGUGUUCGGGUGGAAAACCCUUGUGCGUAAUGAAAGUGAAAGUUGGGAACCUCCGCAAGGGGGUGCACCGACGCCCGGCCCUGACGUUCUCUGACGGUGCUGCGGUAGAGCAAGUAUGCUAGGACCCGAAAGAUGGUGAACUAUGCCUGAAUAGGGCGAAGCCAGAGGAAACUCUGGUGGAGGCUCGUAGCGAUUCUGACGUGCAAAUCGAUCGUCAAAUUUGGG
rnacentral:rRNA from 1 species